CGCGAUAUAGUGCCAAUAUUAAUUCUUUGAGAGCAUGGUAACAGCCGCACACUCAAAUCACAGUCUGUCAAGUACGAUGGUCUGGAAGCCCAGCAAACUUCAAAGCCACAAAAUAGAAGACCUUUGGCUCUGUUUGAUGUUGAAUUGUUCCUCACCGUGCACAAAUCCUUUGUCUCCAUUUCAUUCAAUGUUACUCAUCUCAGCUAUCCUUAUUUUGGUAUAUCCCGUAAUUAUACGGAAAUACAAUGAAGUCAAUCACCGUGACCG